rnacentral:rRNA from 1 species
GACGAACGCUGGCGGCGUGCUUAACACAUGCAAGUCGAACGGAAAGGCCCUGCUUUUGUGGGGUGCUCGAGUGGCGAACGGGUGAGUAACACGUGAGUAACCUGCCCUUGACUUUGGGAUAACUUCAGGAAACUGGGGCUAAUACCGGAUAGGAGCUCCUGCUGCAUGGUGGGGGUUGGAAAGUUUCGGCGGUUGGGGAUGGACUCGCGGCUUAUCAGCUUGUUGGUGGGGUAGUGGCUUACCAAGGCUUUGACGGGUAGCCGGCCUGAGAGGGUGACCGGCCACAUUGGGACUGAGAUACGGCCCAGACUCCUACGGGAGGCAGCAGUGGGGAAUAUUGCACAAUGGGCGGAAGCCUGAUGCAGCAACGCCGCGUGCGGGAUGACGGCCUUCGGGUUGUAAACCGCUUUCGCCUGUGACGAAGCGUGAGUGACGGUAAUGGGUAAAGAAGCACCGGCUAACUACGUGCCAGCAGCCGCGGUGAUACGUAGGGUGCGAGCGUUGUCCGGAUUUAUUGGGCGUAAAGGGCUCGCAGGUGGUUGAUCGCGUCGGAAGUGUAAUCUUGGGGCUUAACCCUGAGCGUGCUUUCGAUACGGGUUGACUUGAGGAAGGUAGGGGAGAAUGGAAUUCCUGGUGGAGCGGUGGAAUGCGCAGAUAUCAGGAGGAACACCAGUGGCGAAGGCGGUUCUCUGGGCCUUUCCUGACGCUGAGGAGCGAAAGCGUGGGGAGCGAACAGGCUUAGAUACCCUGGUAGUCCACGCUGUAAACGGUGGGUACUAGGUGUGGGGUCCAUUCCACGGGUUCCGUGCCGUAGCUAACGCUUUAAGUACCCCGCCUGGGGAGUACGGCCGCAAGGCUAAAACUCAAAGGAAUUGACGGGGCCCCGCACAAGCGGCGGAGCAUGCGGAUUAAUUCGAUGCAACGCGUAGAACCUUACCUGGGUUUGACAUGGAUCGGGAGCGCUCAGAGAUGGGUGUGCCUCUUUUGGGGUCGGUUCACAGGUGGUGCAUGGCUGUCGUCAGCUCGUGUCGUGAGAUGUUGGGUUAAGUCCCGCAACGAGCGCAACCCUUGUUCACUGUUGCCAGCACGUUAUGGUGGGGACUCAGUGGAGACCGCCGGGGUCAACUCGGAGGAAGGUGGGGAUGACGUCAAGUCAUCAUGCCCCUUAUGUCCAGGGCUUCACGCAUGCUACAAUGGCUGGUACAGAGAGUGGCGAGCCUGUGAGGGUGAGCGAAUCUCGGAAAGCCGGUCUCAGUUCGGAUUGGGGUCUGCAACUCGACCUCAUGAAGUCGGAGUCGCUAGUAAUCGCAGAUCAGCAACGCUGCGGUGAAUACGUUCCCGGG